CUACGGGAGGCUGCAGUGGGGAAUAUUGGACAAUGGGGGAAACCCUGAUCCAGCAAUGCCGCGUGUGUGAAGAAGGCCUGCGGGUUGUAAAGCACUUUCGGUUGGGAGGACUGCUUCUAGCACUAAUAUUGUUGGAAGUUGACGUUACCUUCAGAAGAAGCACCGGCUAACUCCGUGCCAGCAGCCGCGGUAAUACGGAGGGUGCAAGGCGUUAAUCGGAAUUACUGGGCGUAAAGCGCGCGUAGGCGGCUAGAUCAGUCGGGUGUGAAAGCCCCGGGCUUAACCUGGGAACUGCAUCCGAUACUGUCUAGCUUGAGUACAGGAGAGGAGAGUGGAAUUCCACAUGUAGCGGUGAAAUGCGUAGAUAUGUGGAGGAACACCAAUGGCGAAGGCAGCUCUCUGGCCUGAUGCUGACGCUGAGGUGCGAAAGCGUGGGGAGCAAACAGGAUUAGAUACCCCUGUAGUC
rnacentral:rRNA from 1 species